AUGUAGACAAUUAAGUGUGUUGUUGUGGGUGAUGGUGCUGUUGGUAAAACAUGUCUCCUGAUAUCUUACACAACAAAUAAGUUUCCAUCUGAAUAUGUUCCAACUGUUUUUGACAACUAUGCAGUCACUGUUAUGAUUGGUGGAGAGCCAUAUACUCUUGGACUUUUUGAUACAGCAGGACAAGAAGAUUAUGACAGAUUACGACCGCUGAGUUAUCCACAAACAGAUGUAUUUCUAGUCUGUUUUUCAGUGAUCUCUCCAUCUUCAUUUGAAAAUGUGAAAGAAAAGUGGGUGACUGAGAUUACUCACCACUGUCCAAAGACUCCUUUCCUUCUUGUUGGGACCCAAAUUGAUCUCAGAGAUGACCCCUCCACUACUGAGAAACUUGCCAAGAACAAUCAGAAGCCUAUCACUCCAGAGACUGCUGAAGAGUUGGCACGUGAUCUGAAGGCUGUCAAGUAUGUGGAGUGUUCUGCACUUACACAGAAAGGCCUAAAGAAUGUGUUUGAUGAAGCAAUACUGGCUGCCCUGGAGCCUCCAGAACCAAAGAAGAGCCGCAGGUGUGUGCUGCUAUGAACAUCUCUCCAGAGCCCUUUCUGCACAGCUGGUGUCGGCAUCAUACUAAAAGCAAUGUUUAAAUCAAACUAAAAUUAAAAAUUAAAAUUUGUUUCUGCAAUAAGGACAAAUGCCCUGCACCUACCCACAUGCCCUCAUGUGAUACAAGGCCCAUAGGUAUGCCCCCCUUCACCUUUCAAGUACUAGUUAAUUUUGAUAAUUGUGUAUUGUCAGAAAAGUGAUCAGUACUAGUUUUUGUUGUUUAAAAAAAUCCUUUUUGUUUGUUUAAAAGCAAGGCAUGUGGUGACUGUAACAGACUAAUUUUGAAUUGUUGAAGCUGCUCCCUGGUUCCAUUUUAGACAGUAAUCUGGGACAAUUUAGAGGCUUUUUUUUUUUUUUCGGGGGCAGGGGGUUGUCGUGUGUGUGGGAUUCAUUUUUUAGUU